UCGACCCCAGGAGCCUGAGGAGGCCGUGUCCUGUGAGUGUCCCCACCAUGGCCUGGAUGGUGCUCCUGCUCGGGCUCCUUGCUUACAGCUCAGGUGUGGAUUCUCACAUUAUGGUGACCCAGGAGCCAUCACUGUCCGUGUCACCAGGAGGGACAGUCACACUCACCUGUGGGUCUAGCUCUGGGUCAGUCUCUAGCAGUAGUUACCCUAACUGGUUCCAGCAGACCCCAGGCCAGACUCCCCGUAUACUCAUCUACAGCACAAACAACCGGCCCUCUGGGGUCCCUGAGCGCUUCUCUGGAUCCAUCUCUGGGAACAAAGCCACCCUCACCAUCACGGGGGCUCAGCCUGAGGACGAGGCCGAGUACUUCUGUAUUCUGUGGCACAGUGACCAUUACCACAGUGUCAGGUGCAGAGGAGGAAGAACAUCACUGAGACUCCCAUGCACCCUGAGAAGUGAAUUUAAUGUUGGCGGCUACCACACAGACUGGUACCAGCACAAGUCAUGGAGCCCUUCCAAGCAUCUCCUGUCCCACCUCCCGGACUCAGGCAAGCAGCAGGGCUCCUGGGCCUGCAGGAGCUUCUCUGGAUCCAAAGACACCUCGGCCAGUGCAGGGCACCUGCUCAUCUCUGGGCUGCAGCCUAAAGAUGAGGCUGGCUUUGUGUCAGAGAGUCCUUUCCAGGAGAACCAUCUCACAGGGGAGAUGCUGGAGGUGCGGACACUGGUUGGGAUCGGCCGUGACUGGCUCUGA